rnacentral:rRNA from 1 species
GGUAACCGGUCUGAGAGGAUGAUCGGUCACAGUGGGACUGAGACACGGCCCGCACCCGUACGGGGGGCAGCAGUGGGGAAUAUUGGGCAAUGGCCGAAAGGCUGACCCAGCGACGCCGCGUGGUGGAUGAAGCCCUUCGGGGUGUAAACACCUUUUCUGGGGGAAGAUAAUGACGGUACCCCAGGAAUAAGGGACGGCUAACUACGUGCCAGCAGCCGCGGUAAUACGUAGGUCCCGUAACGUUGCGCGAAAUUACUGGGCGUAAAGGGUCCGUAGGCGGUCUGGUAAGUGGAAGGUGAAAUCCAUACGGCUCAACCGUAGAAUUGCCUUCCAAACUGCUGGACUUGAGGCAGGGAAAGGUCGGCGGAAUUCCCGGUGUAGCGGUGAAAUGAGUAGAUAUCGGGAGGAACACCAGUGGCGAAGGCGGCCGACUGGAACUGUCCUGACGCUGAGGGACGUAAGCUAGGGGAGCAAACCGGAUUAGAUACCUCGGGUAGUCCUAGCC